rnacentral:rRNA from 1 species
AUUGAACGCUGGCGGCAUGCCUAACACAUGCAAGUCGAACGCUACUUAAGGGGUAACUCUUAGGUGGAGUGGCGGACGGGUGAGUAAUACGUAGGAAUCUGCCCUAGAGUGGGGGAUAACCUGUCGAAAGACGGGCUAAUACCGCAUACUCUCUGAGGAGCAAAGGGGCGCUGUAGAGAUGCAGUGUUUCGCUUUAGGAUGAGCCUACGUCGGAUUAGCUAGUUGGUAGGGUAAUGGCCUACCAAGGCGACGAUCCGUAACUGGUCUGAGAGGAUGAUCAGUCACACUGGAACUGAGACACGGUCCAGACUCCUACGGGAGGCAGCAGUGGGGAAUAUUGGACAAUGGGCGAAAGCCUGAUCCAGCCAUGCCGCGUGUGUGAAGAAGGUCUUCGGAUUGUAAAGCACUUUAAGUUGGGAGGAAGGGUUGUAGGUUAAUACCUUGCAGCCUUGACGUUACCGACAGAAUAAGCACCGGCUAACUUCGUGCCAGCCGCCGCAGUAAAAC